GUGCUGCCUUUAGAGCAGAACAUGUUUAAGGAAGUAUCUAGUGCCAGGGAAAGACUUGGACAUCUAGGGCUAAUACACAUGCCGCUGUUGUUUCUCCGCCAUUCACACUGAUGCUGCCUAACGACACAUCAGACUACGUUCCCAACUCUUAAUGUUCUCACUUGAGGGAGAACUGGAGCGAGAGCAGGCCAGAUUUCCCUCUGGUUUCCUCCCAGUGAUACUUGCUGAAGUCAGCAGCACCUAAAGACCAGCAAACCUGUGGAGAAGUUCCUGGGGUGAUUCUGCCCCGGCAGCAGACUAACAUUUGGCAUCCUUGUUAGUAUUCACAGCACGUGGGAGAUGUACUGGGGCCUUUGGACAUCAACCCUUCCCAACCUUCUUGGUGAGAGAGGGAGCGUGGCUCUAGAGAAAGUCUGGAUUCCUACUUAACUUCAUAUUCAGAGUAAUACCUGAUGAGAUGAAAUGGGAAAGCAACCUAUGCUGUUCAAAAGGUGUCUUCAAGAUGAUCUUGAAGGACUAUGUUUGGGAGAGGGAGAAGCAGAAUUUACAUCACAUGAUUUAUCAGUUGAAAGUGCUGUUCUAGCACACUUCGUAUACCGCAUGUGAUUCUUAGCUGGAGAAAGCAGCACCUGAUACAGCAUUUCCCUGCGUUAACCUCUGACACCAGCAUUACAUCAGAAA